GAUGAUGGUUGCGCUAAAUUGCAUGGGAGAUCCAAGUCUCGAAGUGGCAAAUGGGGCCACUUUAAGAAAGACUGUCAAUUACUAAAGAAGUAGAAGUCAAAGAACAAAUCAAGCAAUAACUCCAGCUCGAACAAUGAGAAAACAUCUGUAGCUAAGAGUGGAGAGGUGAUCAUUAUUUGUGGCAUAAUAGACGAUGGUCUUACAGGUACUACUAGCCAAGACUCUACUUGGUGAUCGAUUCGGCCGCUUCAUAUCAUGUUACAAUGAGGCAGAAAUUAUUAUUGUCUUAUCGUUUCGGUGACUUGGGAU
rnacentral:lncRNA from 1 species